UACAGGGGGUGCAAGCGUUGCUCGGAAUUACUGGGCGUAAAGCGCACGUAGGCGGGUUUGUAAGUAGAGGGGGAAAUCCCAGGGCUCAACCCUGGAACUGCCUUCUAGACUGCAAGCCUGGAGGUCAGGAGAGGCGAGUGGAAUACCGAGUGUAGAGGUGAAAUUCGUAGAUAUUCGGUGGAACACCAGUGGCGAAGGCGACUCGCUGGACUGAUACUGACGCUGAGGUGCGAAAGCGUGGGGAGCAAACAGG
rnacentral:rRNA from 1 species